rnacentral:misc_RNA from 1 species
AAGUCGUAACAAGGUCUCCGUUGGUGAACCAGCGGAGGGAUCAUUACCGAGUUUACAACUCCCAAACCCAAUGUGAACGUUACCAAACUGUUGCCUCGGCGGGAUCUCAUGCCCCGGGUGCGUCGCAGCCCCGGACCAAGGCGCCCGCCGGAGGACCAACCCAAAACUCUUUUUGUAUACCCCCUCGCGGGUUUUUUACUUCUGAGACUUUCUCGGCGCCCCUAGUGGGCGUUUCGAAAAUGAAUCAAAACUUUCAACAACGGAUCUCUUGGUUCUG